rnacentral:rRNA from 1 species
GACGAACGCUGGCGGCGUGCCUAAUACAUGCAAGUAGGACGCAGUUGCGAACGGGAGAGUAACGCGUAGGUCACUGCCUGUGAGAGGGGGAUAAAUAUGGGAAACGAUAGCUAAUACCGCAUACUAGUAGAUGUAACUGCGUUGUAUUAGCUAGUAGGUAGGGUAAUGGACUACCUAGCCAACGAUACAUAGUCGACCUUAGAGGGUGAACGACCAAAACUGGACUGAGACACGGCCCAGACUCCCACGGGAGGGCGCAGUAGGGAAUCUUCGGCAAUGGGGGGAACCCUGACCGAGGAACGCCGGGUGGUAGAAGAAGGUUUUCGGAGCGUAAAGCUCUGUUGUUAAGGAAGCGGUACUUAACCAGAAAGCGACGGCUAACUACGUGCCAGCAGCCGCGGUAAUAC